UACCGGAUAGGACACAUCGGCGCAUGUUGGUGUGUGGAAAGAUUCGGUUCGGCUGGGGAUGGGCCCGCGGCCUAUCAGCUUGUUGGUGGGGUGAUGGCCUACCAAGGCGGUGACGGGUAGCCGGCCUGAGAGGGCGACCGGCCACACUGGGACUGAGACACGGCCCAGACUCCUACGGGAGGCAGCAGUGGGGAAUAUUGCGCAAUGGGCGGAAGCCUGACGCAGCGACGCCGCGUGGGGGAUGACGGCCUUCGGGUUGUAAACCUCUUUCGCCAGGGACGAAGCUUUUGUGACGGUACCUGGAUAAGAAGCACCGGCCAACUACGUGCCAGCAGCCGCGGUAACACGUAGGGUGCGAGCGUUGUCCGGAAUUAUUGGGCGUAAAGAGCUCGUAGGCGGUGUGUCGCGUCGGCCGUGAAAACUUGGGGCUUAACUCCGAGCGUGCGGUCGAUACGGGCAUCACUUGAGUUCGGCAGGGGAGACUGGAAUUCCUGGUGUAGCGGUGAAAUGCGCAGAUAUCAGGAGGAACACCGGUGGCGAAGGCGGGUCUCUGGGCCGAUACUGACGCUGAGGAGCGAAAGCGUGGGGAGCGAACAGGAUUAGAUACCCUGGGUAGUCCACGCCGUAAACGUUGGGCGC
rnacentral:rRNA from 1 species